rnacentral:rRNA from 1 species
UUUGUUGGCGAGCUCGGCCACUUGCAAAUCGGGCUUAAAAUCAUGUGAACUAGGCUUAAGCAAGGUUGAGCCUGGCCAGUACCUGGAUGGGAGACUUCCUGGGGAAAACUAAGGUUGCUGCUGGAA